UCGUAAUCGUCCGUAGCUCUGUUAAUAUGAGACGUUUCACAGAAAUCGCGGUGCGAAUGAUUAACUUUAGCUGUAUCUUACGCGUUUACAAAAUUUGUCCGAACCAUUUCAAGGGCCCUUUAACUAAUUAAGCGGAAUAUAAAAAAAUACUCUAAGGAGCGCCGCGAGACAGCGAACCAUAUGCCGUUGGUUUCAUUGAGCUGUGGCUAACAAGUUUUUUUUAAUCCUGGGCACAAGUUACGCGAAAUUAUAUGCGGCCACUCGAGGCUCAUUCACGCCGCCACCGAUGCCGUGCUGUCCCGCUAUCGGCGUCUGCGCAGCUCCCGGGCGGCGUUUUUUUUUUUUUUUUUUUUAAACACCGAGUGCGUUUGGCUGAAAAUACGACGAAGCGAAGCGGACGCACCACCAACGCUACGCUCAAUCGCCUCACCGGCGGCGUUCCCACUGAGUUGCUUUGCGUGUGCUCAGUUCUGAGCAGUAAGCGUCAAGCUAUCUGAGGUUUCACUGGACGCUGUCUCCCGCAGACGAUUUUUGUCAGUCUCGCCUCGUGCGCCAUGGAGGACAGAGUCAUUGUGAAAUGCACGUGUGGGACGACAAGAUUGCGGAGGGUGCCACGCCAGUGUGUGAGAGAACGUACGACGCUAUUUGUGAACAUAAAUAUCAAGUUUAUCACGCAUAUUGCAACCAGUGACAUUUCCGAUAGCGCGUGUCGCAUUUCAUUAAUUCCAAUAAAAGACUUGCUUAUUGUGUGAA